AGUGGGAUAGCUGGGUCAAAUGGUGGUUCCAUUCCAAGUUUUCUGAGGAAUCUCCAUAUUGCUUUCCAUAGUGGUUGCACCAUUUUGCAGUCCCACAAGCAAU
rnacentral:pre_miRNA from 1 species